rnacentral:rRNA from 1 species
GAGUUUGAUCAUGGCUCAGAUUGAACGCUGGCGGCAUGCUUUACACAUGCAAGUCGGACGGCAGCACAGAGAAGCUUGCUUCUUGGGUGGCGAGUGGCGAACGGGUGAGUAACGCAUCGGAACGUAACGAGUAGUGGGGGAUAACUGUCCGAAAGGAUGGCUAAUACCGCAUACGCUUUGAGAAGGAAAGCGGGGGAUCUUCGGACCUCGCGCUAUUCGAGCGGCCGAUGUCUGAUUAGCUAGUUGGUGGGGUAAAGGCCUACCAAGGCGACGAUCAGUAGCGGGUCUGAGAGGAUGAUCCGCCACACUGGGACUGAGACACGGCCCAGACUCCUACGGGAGGCAGCAGUGGGGAAUUUUGGACAAUGGGCGCAAGCCUGAUCCAGCCACGCCGCGUGUCUGAAGAAGGCCUUCGGGUUGUAGAGGACUUUUGUCAGGGAAGAAAAGCUUUGGGUUAAUACCCUGGAGUGAUGACG